rnacentral:lncRNA from 1 species
AGCAGAACAAAACAAGAUGCAAUAAGAGAAGAGGAGCUACUAGCAGUGGGAGUGAGUAUAUCUCUGAUUCUUUGCUUGCUCCUGGAACUCUAUUCCUCCUAUUGGGUUGCCUUGUUCAGCCUCAAAAAGAGGGCUUGGCUCUUGCCUUGUCUCCUUUCUUAACUUUUAAGUAAUUGCAUUUAUAACAAAAUCUAUUGACCAUAUCCCUAUGAAGCAAAGGGAGUGUUUCAGCCUAAUUGUAACAUGGCCAGAUUUAAAGAGCUUCUAAAAGAAAAAUCAGAUUCUAAUACAUGUAGUUGAUUUCUCCUGAGGCUAAAAUAGGGACAAACUUGGACUUUUUAAUGUAUUUUUUCAUUCCCAUGUCUUUGAAAUUCGUUGAAAGCUUUAAACCUCUGUAGCUGCCAAAAGUCUCCAAGGGCAGGCUACUCUUACUCUGUUUCUUUUGGGACAUUGAUCUUAUUUUACUUGCUUAGCACCAAGCCAAGUUCAUGCUUUAUCACAGCUGCUCCAGUCUGGUAGAUGAGGUGAGAGUGAGGGAGUAGAGAGCAUGCAGGCCCUAUGUCAUGGUUACUGUUCUAUUGCUGUCCAUAACCAUUAAGUCACAUUAAGGAGAAUGGAAACAGGCAGGCCUGCAUGGUCCUGACAUGUGGCUGAGCACUUAACAUCGGAUCCAGAAGCACAGGCAGAGAGCAUUAACUGGGAAUGGCCCGGCCUUUUGAAACUUAAAUCUCACUCCCAGUGACACACCUCCUCCGACAAGGCUCACCUCCUAAAACUUCCUAAACAGUUUUCUUACACACGUUCUCGCGACCGGCCAGGAAGAACGCAGCAAACCGGAAUCUUCUGCGGCAAAGCUUUAUUGCUUACAUCUUCAGGAGCAAGAGAGCAAGAGAGCAAGAGCAAGAGUUCUAUUGCUUACAUCUUUAGGAGCCAGAGCGCAAGAGAGCAAGAGCCAGAGCAAGAGAGCAAGCAAGAAAGCAAGAAAAAGAACAAGAACAAGAAAGCAAGAGCAAGAAAAAGCAAGAACAAGAGAGCAAGAGAGAGAAAGAAUGGCAAAACCCCGUCCCUUUUAAGGAGAAUUAUCCUCCACCUAGGACGUAUUACUCGCUGAUUGGCUGCAGUCCAUCGGCCCAGUUGUCAUCACGAGAAAGGCAGAACACAUGGCGGGAAAACUGCCCCUGCACGUGUGCAGAUUAUGUUUACUACUUAGAACACAGCUGUCAGCGCCAUCUUGUAAUGGCAAAUGUGAGGGCGGCUUCCCACACAGUUUCACCAACUGGGGACCAUGUAUGCAAAUAUAUGUUGUCAUUCAAACCCCUGCAGCCUUGGAACAGGCAGGCUGGCUUGCAGAAGGCAGGCUGAGUGUGCUGCUGGUGUCACAGACAAGCCUCCCAGACAAGAGUCCUUUCUGUCAUUUACUGUUCAGUAUCGCUGUCAUAGAUUUCAUUUCAAGGUGUCAUUCACUUGGUUGUAGAAGUAUUGAUGUUCAUCGGCUUUACAGGAUUACCUAAUAUGCCUGUCACUCAACCAAGCAAUUUCCGGUCAACCCAGGAAGCAGAGAGAACAUAUUGCACAUUCACUCUCAGAGUUCUGUGCAAUAACAACUGGCUUCUUGAAUGUGUGCUAAACUUUGGAUUCUUGUGGUAAUUUUAAAAUUGAUUUUUACAUUUCCCUUAUGAUUGGAACUGUCUGUGUCCCCUCCCUCCUUUAGGCCACAUAGAGAAUUUCAUAGUCAUUUGGCUUCAGGUGUCUAUUCUACCUGCCAAGUAAAGGUGCAUAUAUAAAUGACCUUCAAAUGAGUUAGUAUCUACUAUUGAAGGCACAUACUUUGUCUGAGAUAUUGAUUGGUAAUUUUGACAGAGAGAGCUCUUCUUAUGCACAGAUACCUAGGGUAUAGAUUUGAUAAUGGAAAACAAGUUUUAUCUCUCUUACCACACCUGACUGUCAGAGGUCUAAAAACCACUUGGUUGUCUUUAAGCACAUUCACGUCUGAAGAAAUGAAGGAAAUAAAAAUAUCUAUAGUUAUGUGGACAUACAAUUUUAUAGGCUAAAAGUUUAUUUUUUAGAGUUCAUUGAAAUCAUUGAGGAUUAACUAUUGAGAUUUAUGUUAGAAAGCAAUGACAAACUCAAUUCAGAGCUCAGACAAAUGCAUGAGAUUUGCAAAUUUUUCUUUCCUUCUAUGACAUCACUAGGACAGAGAAAGAGACUUCCUUCUGUUUGUCAGGAAGAUACUCGUGAGAUCAGUAUAGCUGCAGCCUGCAAAGUAAAGGGUGAAUGCUAUGGGCCAGGGCAGUCUCACAGGAUUAAGACUUCUUACAAGGCUAGCUCACCUACCCUGUAAGCUCACCUAGCAAUGCAAUGCAAACUCCUUACAAGGCCAACACACCUAUGAUGCAGACUCCUUACAGGGCUAGUACACCCAACUCCCCAGGAGCUGAGUCCAAUGUCACACAGGGUUGUUGAGGCAAAUACAUUUUUCUUGGAAUUGUUUACUUAGUAGUACAUAUACUAAUACACACCAAGGUCAUAAAUAUCAUAAAUAGCAUGACUGUUGUCUAAAUACUCUUGUUUUGUUUCAGAACUUAUAUGUGGAUAUAAGCUGUUUGCUAUGUGAUGAUCAAAGGAAUAUAUCACAGAAUUUAGAAAAAUAAAACCAAACUAUAGAUUGCAAAGAGGUCUAGUUGGACAGUGAAAUAACAUAAGAUCUUAGGUAAAUAGAGGUAAAUAAGCUUUUUGGUUAUUUUAAAAUGUCUAUGGUCAUUCUAGCCCAUUUUCAACUUACCCAAAUGUCAAAUUGGUAAAGAAAAUGAAUAAAAUUGAAUGUGAACCAUCCAUGUUCAUAUAAUUUUAAUUCCUUUAAGAGGCAUAUAUCAAAAUAGCGACACUGCUAAAAUAGUGUUCCAUAGAUACAAAAAUAGGCUAAAUUUUAUCAAACUACACAAAAUCUAACAAAUACAGCUUUUGUACAUGGUGCAAUUUUCAGUAUGUCUGCUGAAAACAUGCACAAGUAAACAUGAGAUGGCAUAUUGGUCACACAGCACUCUUCUAAGGGGAAAGAUUGAUGCUGCUGCUUCAUUCAGGUUUUCUUCCAUCAGUUCAAGCAUCAUUUCUUUCAAAAGAAGAAGUUAUUGCACAGCUCUGAUGACUGGAUAAUGACCCCAAGUUAUCAGGCAAAUUAGGAACAAUUUAGCUUGUGAAUGAUGAUCACAGUUAUAAUGUGGCCUCUCUGUAAAUACUGUUAAAUAUGUUUUCUUGUUACAUUUCUGUAAAACCAUGAAUAGGAUAAAAAAGGUUAAGGCAUAUGGAUUAUGAAAUAAAACAACCCCCUACC